CCUGAACUGUGAAAACUGGUAUAACAGAACCUAUCUCACAGGGUUUUGGUGAAGAUUAAAGGGAAAAUACCUAGAGAAGUAAUUAGCAUCAGGUUUGGCUACAUAAAAGGCAAAAGUAAAGUGUGGAGCUCUUUGCUCAAGAUUACUGAGUGGGUAACAGAGCAAUAAACUAAGCACAGAGCCCUGCUAGGCAUGGGGCCCUCUGUGACUGCACGGGUUGUAUGUCUUGUAAGCCAGUCAUAGCUAACAGUGCCUGAUGCAUGGUCUUCUUCAUUUCCCAUUCCUGAAUAACAGAAAAACAGGAAAAAAAAAUCGGUUUGUUGAAUAUUCAGAAGUAACUUGCAGGAUGAAAACAAGAUAAGGAAAAUGAGAAGGUCAAGUCACUGCUCAAGGCCAUAAAGCUGAUGAGUGAAAACUUUCUUAUGGACCAAACCAGCAAGUAGACUCACCUUUGGGAGUCACCAUUCCGAUCCACCUUGCUGUGUCAGCACCGCGGAGAGCGGCUUACCUCACACCCAACCCUGUAAUGCUUGAGUGUUAAAGAUUUUCAUCCUCUAUGUGGGAACUGAGAACUGCAGAAUGGGAAGAAUCCUGAGGCCAUUUGGAGAUGCCUUUCCCUGUGCUCCUAUAGAAUGCUGCGUGCAUCUAUGCUAAGUCCUGCAUUAACUCUGCAGAGAGGCCCCCGGCCACACAGUGGUCAUGUAUGGAUAUGAGAGUUGGACUGUGAAGAAAGC